GCCUGGGUGGCUCAGUCGGUUAAGCAUCUGACAUUGGCUCAGGUCAUGACUCACGGUUCGUGGGUUCGAGCCCCGCAUCAGGCU
rnacentral:tRNA from 1 species